GACGAACGCUGGCGGCGUGCUUAACACAUGCAAGUCGAACGGAAAGGCCCUGCUUGCAGGGUGCUCGAGUGGCGAACGGGUGAGUAACACGUGGGUGAUCUGCCCCUUACUUUGGGAUAAGCCUGGGAAACUGGGUCUAAUACUGGAUAGGACCAUGCUGUAGGUGGUGUGGUGGAAAGAUUAGUUUCGGUAAGGGAUGAGCUCGCGGCCUAUCAGCUUGUUGGUGGGGUAAUGGCCUACCAAGGCGUCGACGGGUAGCCGGCCUGAGAGGGUGGACGGCCACAUUGGGACUGAGAUACGGCCCAGACUCCUACGGGAGGCAGCAGUGGGGAAUAUUGCACAAUGGGCGCAAGCCGGAUGCAGCGACGCCGCGUGGGGGAUGACGGCCUUCGGGUUGUAAACUCCUUUCAGCCAUGACGAAGCCCUUGUGGUGACGGUAGUGGUAGAAGAAGCACCGGCUAACUACGCG
rnacentral:rRNA from 1 species